CCCGCUGAACUUAAGCAUAUCAGUAAGCGGAGGAAAAGAAACUAACAAGGAUUCCCUCAGUAACGGCGAGUGAACAGGGAUUAGUCCAGCGCUGAAUCUCGACGUUUAGGCGUCGCGACUUGUAGCGUAUAGGCGGUACGCUUAGCCGUGGCUAAAGGCACAAGUUUCCCAUGACCGGGGCGCCAUAGAAGGUGAUAGACCUGUAGCGCUUGAGGCCUAGGCUAAUUGUGUUGCCUUGGAGUCGGGUUGUUUGGGAUCGCAGCCCAAAGAAGGUGGUAAACUUCAUCUAAGACUAAAUACUCCUACGAGACCGAUAGCGAACAAGUACCGUGAGGGAAAGUUGCAAAGCACUUUGAAGAGAGAGUUAAAGAGGACGUGAAACCGGUAAGAUGGAAACGGAUAGAGCCAGCGAAGUCGCUCGUAUUCAGCCAAAGACUCGGGUCUGCCUGCCGUCGUGUUUCUAAUCGAGCGCGGCGGUUUGCACGGCCUGUUUCGAGGUGCAUUUGCGGGUGUUUGCGCUGAGACUUGCGGAGCAGCUUCUGGAACUACGCUUAGAGGCUUCCCUUUGGGUUGUACCUGGGCGUGGCUACAGAUGUUUGCUCUGCUCGUACUUGGGCUUGGCCUACGGACUUGGGUCGCGCCGUUGUUGCCUGGCAAUGGUAUCGCAUGCGAUAUCUAGUCUGGUGGCUGCGGUUCGGCUUACAGUCCUCUAGCCCCCUCUCGGUGUAGAAGCUGGUCAUCUCUCCGACCCGUCUUGAAACACGG
rnacentral:rRNA from 1 species